UACCAGCUCCCCGAGUGGUUGGGACGAUUAUUGGGUCUGAAGCGUCCGUAGCCGGUCGGAAAAGUUCCCCGUUAAAUCUGGCGAUCCAAUCGCUGGGCUGCGGGGAAUACUCUUCGGCUUGGGGGCGAGGGAGGUCGGCGGUAGUCCCGGGGUAGGGGCGAAAUCCUAUAAUCCCGGGAGGACCACCAGUGGCGAAGGCGGCCGACUAAAGCGCGCCCGACGGUGAGGGACGAAAGCUGGGGGAG
rnacentral:rRNA from 1 species